rnacentral:lncRNA from 1 species
GCCUCGCCGUUCAAUUUUGCAUUACAUGGUGGCUAUUUUCGAUGGUGCAAUGUCCGGGAAGGUCAUGUGGAUGGGAACUCCGGAGGCAAUGAUUUCGUAUGGCCAUACACAUGUUCCAGCAUCGAAGCUGUCCCACCGACAGGACAUAUAUCUAUCUGGAGGCUGUCAUGCGAAUAUCAAGUCAAGGUCAGUGUAGAGUAGCCACUCAAUUAUAUUUUCUUGCUUGCUUGGUGGGUCAGUCGAAAGGGUGAAAGCCCUGGUGGGUUGGCACAUGUUGUAGUAGUAUGCUUGUGCUCUUGGGGUGUAAAAUGGAACAAACAAGAGUGUGUAUCUGAAGGUGUAAUUUUGUCUGAGUUUCUUAUUUGCGUCGGGUCCGAUAUAGUUGUCUCGCAGAGAAAGUGUACUGACUGGUGUAUUAUUCCUUUUUUUGUUUCCACACCCAACUGGCUUAGAACUCUAGUUUAGAGUGUAAUUUUGUCUCCUUUUCCCUGCCGUCUGGUCUGGUUCAUUUCCUUUUUUUUCUUAUUUGCGUCCGAUAUAUUUGUCUGGUAGAGAGGAAAUGCACUGGCGUUGUACUAUUUAUUAUUCUUGUCUCAGCACCCAGCAGGCUUGUUUUGGAAGCACUAGAGCAUGCGUGCUUCCUGGAUGCUUCCCUUCAUCUGUCAACGCGGCAAUGUGCCGUGUUUGUUUACUGUGCCCGUCCGUCCUUAUGAGCUGUUCCGUUUGAUCGCCAUUCUGUGUUAUCCAUCCCCACGGAGAAAGCGACCGGUUUUCUCCCAUCUGCUUGACCCGUUCUCCGGGAAAAAGGCAGCAAUCGGCAUCCAUACGUUGAAUUAUUACAGUCACGUAGCAUGCCCGAGCCACGUCGGUCGCGAUCCCCGUCAGAAACAGGGGAUGUUACAGGGACGUUGCCUGGCCACCUGCCGGGAAAAGGAGGCCCAACGGCCAGUGGCUCUUCUUCUUCCCUCCCUGUGUGGUAGAGACGGCGACGCCCUUUUGGACUUUGUCGACAGCGCCAAGCGGCGAGCGCGGCACGACCUGGUCGCGGGCGAACGCGCUUUCUUUUCUUUCUCCGAGCUCGCGUUGCGGUUUAGGCACUCCGCCCGGGAAGAGCGAAAGGGCACGGCAGAUAUGAAUAUAUAUCUAUGCGACCUUCUUCUCGCAUCCCACUUCUCCCCCUCUCCCUUCCCCCGUGCUGUGCGGUGCCAUGUCGAGGUCGCAGAUAAGUAGGUGCAGCUCGCUAAUCAUUGCCUCUUCUUAACUAGCAGGCCCGCAACCACCUCCUGCCCUGCCCGUGGCUGGAUUUCUUUGUUUUUUUUUUGUUCACACACACUUACCUCCCGUCACGUACUGCUGCUGCUAGCAUUACUUUUUGUCCAGUCUUCUCCUUCGUCUUAGAUAUCACGGCUGGGUUCCUCUCCUCGCGGGGCCGGCCUCCCUCGUCUCCCUUGUCCCCUUCCUCUCUUCACAGCAGUAUAUCAUCAUCGCCGAGGGCCCGUCCGAUCUCUUCGUCCACACUUUUUGUUUUGUUUGCUGAUUGGCGUGCGUGCGGUUUCUUGGUCCUAGAACCAGUCCCUGACCAUCUUUGCUUGCGCAAUUUGGUUUCUUGCAUAAGCAUUCGCCUUUGACUGCUUCUUUCCAAGGCCCACCAACCACCUUCAAUUCAAUGUGCUCAUUCAACAAUUCUGCCUCUUCCUCUUGAUGCAUACGUAGCCCCCGUCCAAGAAGCGUCAGAUCAUGGCAUUCCACGCUGCAGCUCCAGCUCCUGCCGGAUGGAAAGCGUUGACUUUGUUGGUUCAUCGGUUCUGCUAGCACUUUCCUUCAGUUCAGCCCAUCUCUUCCCGGUUGGGAGGUAAAAAUCCUUUCUUUUCCUUUCCUCGGUGGGUGGCCGACAUCCCUCCGGGCCGCGAUCUGAUCGACCCCGGCGCGGCGCAGAGCACCACGAGUCUCCCGUCCCGUGCUUGCUGCUCCUUCCUUCCUUGGAUCCCAGGACCAGGAGUAGGAGUGGUGGUGGGGUAGCUGCCGCAGCCUCUUGUCCUGUCCCCCCCGCCCGCCGGUCGAUAAAGAUUCGCCGAUUCCGUCUUCGUCUUGGUCCGGCCGUUCCAUCCAUCCAUCCAUCGGCAGCGGCGACGAUGGGCAACACCUGCGUCGGCCCCAGCAUCGGCAAGAACGGCUUCUUCCACUCCGUCUCCACCGUGCUCUGGACCAGGCGCCCCGACGGCGAAGCCCUGCCCGCCGCCAACGCCAACGCCAAUGGAGGCGUCGCGGACCGGGCCCCGCCGCCGGACGCGCCGCUGGCCGGCCACAUCGUGAGCAAGGCGCCCGAGCCCGUCAAGAUCGCCUCCGGCGCCGCCAACGCCAAGCCCGAUGAGGCGGCGCAACCCAAGCCCAAGGCCAAGCCGCCGGUGCAUCCCAAGCCCGCCCCCGCCAAGGAGCAGGAGUCCAAGGCGUCCACGGACUCGUCCAGCAGCUCCGGCUCCGGCUCCGGCGGCGAGGCCAAGCCGCCGCACCACCGGCCCAAGGUACCCCCGGUCAAGCGCGUGUCCAGCGCCGGCCUGCUCGUCGGCUCCGUGCUCAAGCGCAAGACGGAGAGCGUCAAGGAGAAGUACAGCCUGGGGCGGCGGCUCGGGCAGGGCCAGUUCGGCACCACCUACCUCUGCGUCGAGCGGAGCUCCGGCAAGGAGUACGCCUGCAAGUCCAUCCUCAAGCGCAAGCUCGUCACCGACGACGACGUGGAGGACGUGCGUCGGGAGAUCCAGAUAAUGUACCACCUGGCCGGCCACCCCAACGUCAUCUCCAUCCGGGGCGCCUACGAGGACGCCGUCGCCGUGCACCUCGUCAUGGAGCUCUGCGCCGGCGGCGAGCUCUUCGACAGGAUCGUGCAGAAGGGACACUACACCGAGCGGAAGGCCGCCGAGCUCGCCAGGGUCAUCGUCGGCGUCGUCGAGGUGUGCCACUCCAUGGGCGUCAUGCACCGGGACCUCAAGCCCGAGAACUUCCUCUUCGUCGACCAGACGGAGGAGGCCGCGCUCAAGACCAUCGACUUUGGUCUCUCCGUCUUCUUCCGGCCUGGUGAGUUUUUGGUCAAUCUGGUGGGUGCAACCACCAUUCUGUUACUAAUCAUAGCUAGAGUUCAUCUCCAUUUUUUUUUUCAGAAAAGGAAACACUUGCCUAUGUUCGUAUUUAUUUUUCAGAAAAAUAAACAUGAAAACAAUACUUAUCAUACAUUGCACUGCAUCUAGAUGGGCAAGAAAAUAUGUAUGAUUUGUCAUUUUGCUACCAUGGUUCUGUAUUUCUGUUCCUUGAUUUGAUCCAUAAUUUGGUCACACGCUCACAUCCCAUCCAGACUGAUUGAUGUGACCAUGUUGUGGGCUUCAUAAAGCAUGACAGCAUACUGAAUUUUUGCAAUGCAUUGUGCUUUCAGCAACAUGUUUUUUCCUGAGAAAUUAUGCCAUUCAACUGCAACCAUAAACAUCUUGGCCACACAUCUUUAUCAGACUGCAGCCUGAAUCUUUUUUUGAAUUUUCAUCAGAUUUGAGACAUUCUCCACUGUAAUCUCUGCUAAUGUGGAUCUUAAUUAUCCCAGGUCAAAUAUUCACCGACGUUGUCGGAAGCCCCUACUAUGUCGCGCCGGAAGUCCUGAAGAAGAAAUAUGGCCCCGAGGCAGACGUCUGGAGCGCCGGUGUGAUCAUCUACAUUCUGUUGUGUGGCGUGCCGCCAUUUUGGGCAGGUAUGAAUUGUGUUCACUUUCUGACUUCUUUACUUCUUCGACACAAUGCGCAAUUACUUUACAAUUUUUUGGCAUUUUGAUCUAAUUACAGCCUUGUUUCUUUUCAUCGAUCAGAGAACGAGCAGGGCAUAUUCGAAGAGGUUCUACACGGGAAACUCGACUUCGAGUCAGAUCCAUGGCCCAGCAUCUCCGAAGGCGCCAAGGAUCUCGUGAGGAGAAUGCUCCUCAGGGACCCCAAGAAGAGACUGACUGCCCAUGAAGUUCUACGUGAGUCAUUAAAUUUCUCAUCACAUGACUAAAUAAAUUCUAGUUCUCUCAAUGGUCUUUACUCUUUAGUGAAUUGUGUUGCUGAAGUCUGAAGAUUUCUAUUUUCGCAUUGUCUCAGGGCAUCCAUGGGUUCAGGUUGGCGGUCUGGCUCCUGACAAGCCUCUGGACUCUGCUGUUCUAUCCCGUAUGAAGCAGUUCUCGGCCAUGAACAAGCUGAAAAAGAUGGCUCUCAGGGUAAGAAGCAUUCACUUCCCGGCUUGAAAUGAUUGUUUCUUUCGCAUGCCUUGUCGCUCUGAAUUGUCAUCUUGCCUUUGUGCUCGUCCACCAAGCCAAGUGGCCGGCACCACCUGCCAUUUGGAGCUUGGUGGAUGUUAUCAUGGAAGAGACCAAGAAUGCAAAACCAUCCAAAUCGACUUGUCCUGACGCGUGUGUAUGUGUGUGUCUGUCCAGGUGAUUGCGGAGAACUUGUCCGAGGACGAGAUCGCCGGCCUCAAGGAGAUGUUCAAGAUGAUCGACUCGGACAACAGCGGGCAGAUCACGUACGAGGAGCUCAAGGUGGGGCUCAAGAAGGUGGGCGCCAACCUCCAGGAGUCGGAGAUCUACGCGCUCAUGCAGGCCGUAAGUUUGUCACUCAAAUUCACAAGAGUGUGAUGAAUCCAGUGAAAGAAGUGUGUUGGCAUUGACACGAAGAAUGAAAUGGGGUGAAUGCAGGCGGACGUGGACAAGAGCGGGACGAUCGACUACGGUGAGUUCAUCGCGGCGACGCUGCACCUGAACAAGGUGGAGCGGGAGGACCACCUGUUCGCGGCGUUCCAGUACUUCGACAAGGACGGCAGCGGCUACAUCACCCCCGACGAGCUGCAGCUCGCGUGCGAGGAGUUCGGCCUCGGCUCCGACGACCUCAGCCUCGACAACAUGAUCAGAGAAGUCGACCAGGACAACGUCAGUCACACCUUCCCUCCCUUCUUUUUUCUUCUCUUCUCUUCGGGGUGCUCUGACUGAACUGAAACACCAAAACGCUGAUGAUCUCGUGUGUUGGUUGCUUUGGCAGGACGGGCGCAUAGACUACAACGAGUUCGUGGCGAUGAUGCAGAAGCCGGCGCUGGGGCUGGCGAAGAAGGCCGGGGCCGGGCUGGAGAGCAGCUUCAGCAUCGGCUUCAGGGAGGCGCUGAGGAUGGCUUGAUGGAGGAGGAGGAGCUAGGUGGUAGUCAUGGCGACGCUAAUUUCGUUCUGCCCGUCGAAGACGCUUUGUUGUAGAGACAUGGUGAGGUGAUUGAGUUUUCAUAGGGUUGAAGUGGCAGCAGCUCCUGGCGAGUAGCAGAGGGUCGGGACUCGGGACAACGUGGGUGUAGUAGAGGCAGGCAGGCAGGCAGACAGCCCCGGUGAUUUUCUGCUCGCUACUGGAUUGGUUCAAUUGUGUAUUAUACUGAGCAUAUAAACUACAAAAGGCUUUUCCCCUCCCUGUAUACAGUACGGUUAGAAGUGAAACCUGCACAAGUUGGAUUAGUUUUUUUUUCUUUUUUGCGGAUGAAACGAGAUUGUAUUAGUUAAGAAAAGGUGUUACACUCGUUUUCACAAAUAAGAGAAAGAUCCUUGGGCCCGGAGCCUAGUACGCUGGGUGGUGCGUACCCUAUGAGCUAGACAAUGGGUGGCACUGUUGGCUGAUCUCCAGACAUGGCCAAAACUAUUNNNNNNNNNNNNNNNNNNNNCCGGCCUCUGCAUCUGGUCGAUGCAUACGGCCACUUUAUUAAUUAUUAGCACAAAACCUUACAAAGUCGUACAACAGUAAGACCAAAGCCACCAUCUUCGCAACCUCUGUCGCUACUCCUAUCUAACUGAUGAAGGGGCGCUGAUGGUCUGGGCCUAAUACCAAACAGACCUCGCAGCCAAACCUAACAUCUAAGACCUGAGGUCCCAACCUGGACGCCUGCCGGGUAUGGGCACCCACCAGUCCGGCGUGCUCCUCAACCAGGCCGCCCGCCGGGUAUGAGGCCGCCACAACCACCUACCACAUAUCCAUCUUCAGAGUUGUACUGUUGUAACAGCCUUGCCUGGUCUCGCUGCCGCCGACGCCACCACGACGCCAGACAGCGUCGACCUCCUGCGCGUGUCCGUCACCACACAUCUGACGCCCAGCCUCCGCUGCUCCAUGCCGCCAAGAGCCGCCGCCAAGAAUAUGUAGAAUGAAACACCGCUCCACCGAAGGGAGGCAGCACACCCCCACCCCUCACCUGCAGACCCUUCCAUCCGAUCCCAAUGUCCUUGGCGUCGCCUCCAGGAAGGUUACGGUGCCUAAGGCGCCGCCGACGCCCGAUCCGCAUCGGAUCUUGGGCUUUCACCCGGACAUGGGUUGGAGAGGAGAGAUGGUGCCCUCAGCAACGCCCCCAAGGAGGAAAGCGGCGCCAAAAAUCGGCGUCGCCGCUGCCAGUCAGCCUAAGGCUGCCAAGGUUUCCCCCGGACACCGAUCUGCUCCACCAGAACACACCGGAGGUGGAUCCGGCAAGAUCCAAACCAACCCGGGGACUCGGAAGGGAUGCACGGAAGGGAGAGGGGCAAUACCCGCCGCCGGCCGACCCCAAAGCGUUGCCGAACGCGGCUCGGCCGCCGCGAGGUCAGCUUUGGCUGGGGCGCCGGCCGCCAUGAGACAUGGCCAAAACUAUGCCUCCGGAUCCCAUGCAGGGCCCUCUUCGUCUCCUUCACCUAGCUCGCCAGUGAACAUCUGUUGACGCUGCUAUCCAUCAGGGCGCACACUCCCUGCUUGCAAUCUAACUCAAUGAUUAAUGACUUCUCCGUUCGCUGCAGUGCCAGGGACGUGCCCUCAAGACACGCUGCCAUUUCCGCCUCCAUCGAAGAGCGACAUGAUCGAAGAAAGCAACACGAAGAAAGGAUGAUGGCCCCGGUGUCGUCCCUUAGUACCAUGCCGGCACCCCCUGUAUUCUCGCCAUGGAUGUAUGAUCCAUCCACGUUGAGCUUCGUCCAUCCCGCCGGAGGUUUCUCCCAAGUUGUGUUAGCUACUAUACCUCUCGGUGAUGCUACUGUUUGCUUGACCAUAUGCGCUACACUCUGAACCAUCUUGCCUUUCACCAAAUCUCCUUAUGGAUGCUGCUUGAUGCACGGUAGGGACUCGAUGUAGCUACACAAGAAUCUCCACGGACACUCGAUAGCUGGUGCCGGCUUGUAAUGUGUGACCUCGUUCCUACAAUGCCACACACGCCAAAAGGUCAUGAGGAUGACCAGCCGCUGCAACUCGGUGCAGUUAUCCAGGAGGUGAAGUAGCCAUUCCUUGCCGGUGUUCACGACCGUCGCCAGGUCCGGGAGUAGCCAUGACUCCCUCAUGGCCUCCUAUAGUGCACACGCCAUGGGGCACCUGCAAAUAGUAUGGAAGGUGUCCUCCUGCUCAACGCCACAUAGGCCACACACAUAAGAUUUUUCCAAGGUUCUCUUAUGCUUAUUCUCCAUCGUAGCCAAUGAGUUGGUUGCAAUCCGCCAACCGAAGACGCAUACCUUAGGUGCAGCAGGGCACCUCCACAUUGCCUUCCAGACGGCACAAUUGCCAUCCGGUGGCCUGCUUGCGGCUCAUGAAGACGUGUGAAAUUUAUCCUCAAGACCAAUCUUGUAAGCCGACUUGGCAGAAAAGAUGCCUUUUGGGUAUGGACCCCAAGCCAAGACAUCAUGCAUCCUUGGCGAGGGACGCAACUUUAGUAUUUCAUCAACAUCAAGUGGCAAGAAGUGUUCUUGAAGUAACUCUAUUUUCCAUGCACCAUGAUCAUCAAGUAGUUCUGCCACCCGGCGUAACCGGCACCUUUCAGCCUGUGAUAUGGGCCGGUAUGACGCCGGUCGUUCGAGCCAAGGGUCGCGCCAGAUACGAACAUUUUGACCGUCACCGAUCCGCCAUACGAGCCCUCUCUUGAGGAGCUCCAAGCCAUAUGUUAUGGCCUGCCAAGUAGAGGACGCGUUACCUGCAAAAACAAUAUCCUCCAACCGCCCAUUAGGAUAAUAUUUAACUUUCAAAACCCUAGCACAUAAGCUUUAUAGGUAGAGUCAUAUGAAUGUGGCAAAUUUGUGAAACUUUUGAAGAGCCCCAACCUCAAGUAGGAAUCUAAGAUCAUCUCUAGCGGAUCCCUCAAAAGGUAUUUUUUUUGGGGAAAAUAUCUGGUUUAGGGGAUUAAACACCGUCCAACAAAUCCCUAAAAAAGUUUAGUGCCUCCAAUAUAACCCCCACUAAAAUCUCCCCCUAGCCUAUAUUUGCUCCACAUCCCCGCCUCCUCACCGUCUCCGGUGAGAUUCCGGCAAACUUCUUUUUUCAUCAUUUUGUCUUCCUCUUUGUCUCCAACCAUUGUGGAGCUUGUCCCUAGCAUCCCUGGCUCGAUGGCUCCUCCCUGUCCUCACUGGCCAUGAGUAGAGCAGCGACCCAAGCAGACAGACUCCUACAAAGGAGAAACAUGACAUAGAUUUUUUUGUACUGAGAAACAUGGCCGCCAACAUCGAUUCCAAUGAUUCCUUGCGUUUCGGAACCACGCCAUCGUGCCACUAGGAGAAGGAAGAUGAGAAGAACUCAUUCUGAAGAAGAAAUGUUGAAACCGUGGCCCAUGGAAGACGAAUUGCACCUACUUUGUAGACUCCUUCACAUGCGUACAAUCAUGCUCGAUGAUCCUUUAUCAAACUACUUUUGCGGAUCAUAUAUCCAAGCCCUAGAUAGCUCAUGGACAUCGUCUAGUGGUGAGAAGUCAUCGUUGUCCACAUGAAAGGAAGAAGAAGAAAGACGGAAGAAGUAAGAAGAAGAUGAAGAGAGGCUCCCAUGUGGAGUUGAAUUGGUCUGGGGAAUAAGUUUAGGGGAUUUUCUAGAUGAAGAAAAGUUCAAUCCCCUAAAAUAUAGCUUUUUAGAGGAUAGGGGAUACAAUAUAGAACUAUAGGAUAAGGGAUCCCCGCUAGAGAGCAUCUCUAGCUCAUUCCCCAAAAGCUAUAUAUAAGUGAGGAGAGUUGGGCUAGCCUGACUGAAUGUGGGCCAGGUGGGUGGUGGACCGCCUGAACUGUUGGAAAUAUGCCCUAGAGGCAAUAAUAAAAUGGUUAUUAUUAUAUUUCUUUGUUCAUGAUAAUUUUCUAUUGUUCAUGCUAUAAUUGUGUUAUCCGGAAAUCAUAAUAUAUGUGUGAAUACAUAGACCACAACACGUCCCUAAUGAGCCUCUAGUUGACUAGCUCGUUGAUCAAAGGAUAGUCAUGGUUUCCUGACUAUGGACAUUAGAUGUCAUUGAUAACGGGAUCACAUCAUUAGGAGAAUGAUGUGAUGGACAAGACCCAAUCCUAAGCUUAGCUCAAAGAUCGUGUAGUUCGUUUGCUGUAGCUUUUCUGAAUGUCAAGUAUCAUUUCCUUAGACCAUGAGAUUGUGCAACUCCCGGAUACCGUAGGAGUGCAUUGGGUGUGACAAACGUCACAACGUAACUGGGUGACUAUAAAGAUACAUUACAGGUAUCUCCGAAAGUGUCUGUUGGGUUGGCACGAAUCGAGACUGGGAUUUGUCACUCCGUAUGACGGAGAGGUAUCUCUGGGCCCACUCGGUAAUGCAUCAUCAUAAUGAGCUCAAUGUGAUCAAGUGGUUGAUCACAGGAUCAUGCAUUACGGUACGAGUAAAGUGACUUGCCAGUAAUGAGACUGAACAAGGUAUUGGGAUACCGACGAUCGAGUCUCGGGCAAGUAACAUAUCGAUUGACAAAGGGAAUUGUAUACGGAUUGAUUGAAUCCUCGACAUUGUGGUUCAUCCGAUGAGAUCAUCGUGGACCAUGUGGGAGCCAACAUGGGUAUCCAGAUCCCGCUGUUGGUUAUUGACCGGAGAGGCUUCUCGGUCAUGUCUGCAUGUCUCCCGAACCCGUAGGGUCUACACACUUAAGGUUCGGUGACGCUAGGGUUGUAGAGAUAUUAGCACAAGGUAACCCGAAAGUUGUCUGGAGUCCCGGAUGAGAUCCCGGACGUCACGAGGAGUUCCGGAAUGGUCCGGAGGUAAAGAUUUAUAUAUAGGAAGUCCAGUUUCGGCCAUCGGGAAGGUUUCGGGGGUCACCGGUAUUGUACCGGGACCACCGGAAGGGUCCCGAGGGUCCAUCGGGUGGGGCCACCUAUCCUGGAGGGCCCCAUGGGCUGAAGUGGGAGGGGAACCAGCCCCUAGUGGGCUGGUGCGUCCCCCUUGGGCCUCCCCCUGCGCCUAGGGUUAGAAACCCUAGGGGUGGGGGGCGCCACCCUUGCCUUGGGGGGCAAGGCACCCCCUUGGCCGCCACCCCCCCUAGGAGAUUGGAUCUCCCAGGGCUGGCGCCCCCCCCUAGGCACCCUAUAUAUAGUGGGGGGAAGGGAGGGCUGCGCACCAAAGCCCCAGGCCUCUCCCUCUCCCUUCCGUGACACUCCUCCGUCUCCCAGCGCUUGGCGAAGCCCUGCCGAGAUCACCGUUGCUUCCACCACCACGCCGUCGUGCUGCUGGAUCUUCAUCAACCUCUCCUUCCCCCUGGCUGGAUCAAGUUGGAGGAGACGUCUUCCCAACCGUACGUGUGUUGAACGUGGAGGUGUUGUCCGUUCGGCACUUGGUCAUCAGUGAUUUGAAUCACGUCGAGUACGACUCCAUCAACCCCAUUCUCUUGAACGCUUCCGCUCGUGAUCUACAAGGGUAUGUAGAUGCACUCCUCUUUCCCUUGUUGCUAGAUGACUCCAUAGAUUGAUCUUGGUGAUGCGUAGAAAAUUUUAAAAUUCUGCUACAUUCCCCAACAGUGGCAUCAUGAGCUAGGUCUAUGCGUAGUUACUAUGCACGAGUAGAACACAAAGCAGUUGUGGGCGUCGAUAUUGUCAAUUUGCUUGCCGUUACUAGUCUUAUCUUGAUUCGGCGGCAUUGUGGGAUGAAGCAGCCCGGACCAGGGAUGAAGCAGCCCGGACCAACCUUACACGUACGCUUACGUGAGACCAGUUCCACCGACUGACAUGCACUAGUUGCAUAAGGUGGCUGGUAGGUGUCUGUCUCUCCCACUUUAGUCGGAUCGGAUUCGAUGAACAGGGUCCUUAUGAAGGGUAAAUAGAAAUUGGCAAUUCACGUUAUGGUUUUGGCGUAGGUAAGAAACGUUCUUGCUAGAAACCUAUAGCAGCCACGUAAAAAACUUGCAACAACAAUUAGAGGACGUCUAACUUGUUUUUGCAGCAAGUGUUUUGUGAUGUGAUAUGGCCAAAGGUUGUGAUGAAUGAUGAAUGAUAUAUGUGAUGUAUGAGAUUGAUCAUGUUCUUGUAAUAGGAAUCACGACUUGCAUGUCGAUGAGUAUGACAACCGGCAGGAGCCAUAGGAGUUGUCUUAAUUUAUUUAUGACCUGCGUGUCAACAUAAACGUCAUGUAAUUACUUUACUUUAUUGCUAAACCGUUAGCCAUAGUAGUAGAAGUAAUAGUUGACGUGACAACUUCAAGAAGACACGAUGAUGGAGAUCAUGAUGAUGGAGAUCAUGGUGUCAUGCAGGUGACAACGAUGAUCAUGGAGCCCCGAAGAUGGAGAUCAAAGGAGCAAAUGAUAUUGGCCAUAUCAUGUCACUAUUUGAUUUCAUGUGAUGUUUAUCAUGUUUUACAUCUUAUUUGC